AGUGAACGCUGGCGGUAGGCCUAACACAUGCAAGUCGAACGGCAGCACAGUAAGAGCUUGCUCUUACGGGUGGCGAGUGGCGGACGGGUGAGGAAUACAUCGGAAUCUACUUUUUCGUGGGGGAUAACGUAGGGAAACUUACGCUAAUACCGCAUACGACCUACGGGUGAAAGCAGGGGAUCUUCGGACCUUGCGCGAUUGAAUGAGCCGAUGUCGGAUUAGCUAGUUGGCGGGGUAAAGGCCCACCAAGGCGACGAUCCGUAGCUGGUCUGAGAGGAUGAUCAGCCACACUGGAACUGAGACACGGUCCAGACUCCUACGGGAGGCAGCAGUGGGGAAUAUUGGACCAUGGGCGCAAGCCUGAUCCAGCCAUACCGCGUGGGUGACGAAGGCCUUCGGGUUGUAAAGCCCUUUUGUUGGGAAAGAAAAGCAGCAGGUUAAUACCCCGCUGUUCUGACGGUACCCAAAGAAUAAGCACCGGCUAACUUCGUG
rnacentral:rRNA from 1 species